GGUAUGUAACUCCGAAAGUACUGAAGCAAUUUUUAUCAAAUUUUUUAAGCAUCUGUAAUUUGGUCCAACUUGGGAGAUAGGGUAGUUUUUAUCUCAAUCGGACCUGGUAGGUGGCGCUGCUAUCGGUAUGUAAGCUAUCAAAUUUAGUAGCUGUUUUCCGGGCAGGACAACGUCUGCCGGGUCCGCUCGUUAAUAAUAUAAAAGUAAAUAUAAAUAAUUGAUAUUUAAAGUAAAAACAUAAAUAAAUAAUACAUUCGAAAAAAUAAAUGGAAAUAAAUAUCAUAAUAAUUAUAUUAAUUAACAUAUUUAUAAUAUCAAUUCGCUUU
rnacentral:misc_RNA from 1 species